rnacentral:rRNA from 1 species
AUGGAGUACCAGGGACAGCAGCACGGCCAGGCGACCAACCGCGUCGACGAGUACGGUAACCCGGUUGCCGGACAUGGCGCCGGCACCGGCAUGGGCGCGCACGGCGGCGUUGGCACCGGCACCGGCGCGGCCGCUGGUGGGCAUUUCGAGCCCACGAGAGAGGAGCACAAGGCCGGCGGGAUCCUGCAGCGCUCCGGCAGCUCAAGCUCCAGCUCGUCUGAGGAUGAUGGCAUGGGCGGGAGGAGGAAGAAGGGCAUCAAGGAUAAGAUCAAGGAGAAGCUCCCUGGUGGCCACGGUGACCAGCAGCACGCCGAUGGCACCUAUGGACAGCAGGGUACUGGCAUGGCCGGCACCGGGGCGCAUGGCACCACGGCCACAGGCGGUACCUACGGGCAGCCGGGACAAACCGGAAUGACCGGUACUGGGACGCAUGGCACUGACGGCACCGGCGAGAAGAAGGGCAUCAUGGACAAGAUCAAGGAGAAGCUGCCCGGACAGCACUGA